GCCGGUAUAGCUCAGCUGGUAGAGCAACUGACUUGUAAUCAGUAGGUCCUCAGUUCAAUUCCGAGUGCCGGCACCA
rnacentral:tRNA from 1 species